rnacentral:rRNA from 1 species
AUGUCCCCCAUGGAUCUGGGCGGCUGGGCGAACAGAUGGACCGAGCUCCCUCCUCCGCCCAAGAAGCAGCCGAGCUCCCUCCUCUGCCCAAGAAGCAGCCGACCUCCCUCCUCCGCCCAAGAAGCAGCUGAGCUCCCUCCUCCGCCCAAGAAGCAGCCGGGGAAGCUGCAUCGACGGCAGGAACAACAUGGCGGAUCCAAAUCGCCAGUCUCCUCUGUCCAGAGCUGA